CUACGGGAUGCAGCAGUGGGGAAUAUUGCACAAUGGGCGCAAGCCUGAUGCAGCCAUGCCGCGUGUAUGAAGAAGGCCUUCGGGUUGUAAAGUACUUUCAGCGGGGAGGAAGGGAGUAAAGUUAAUACCUUUGCUCAUUGACGUUACCCGCAGAAUAAGCACCGGCUAACUCCGUGCCAGCAGCCGCGGUAAUACGGAGGGUGCAAGCGUUAAUCGGAAUUACUGGGCGUAAAGCGCACGCAGGCGGUUUGUUAAGUCAGAUGUGAAAUCCCCGGGCUCAACCUGGGAACUGCAUCUGAUACUGGCAAGCUUGAGUCUCGUAGAGGGGGGUAGAAUUCCAGGUGUAGCGGUGAGAUGCGUAGAGAUCUGGAGGAAUACCGGUGGCGAAGGCGGCCCCCUGGACGAAGACUGACGCUCAGGUGCGAAAGCGUGGGGAGCAAACAGGAUUAGAUACCCCCGUAGUC
rnacentral:rRNA from 1 species